rnacentral:tRNA from 1 species
CCCCUUGUAGCUCAAUGGAUAGAGCAGUCCCGUCCUAAGGGAUUGAUGUGGGUUCGAUUCCUGCCAAGGGGA